rnacentral:tRNA from 1 species
GCCUGGGUGGCUCAGCAGGUUGAGCGUCUGACUUCAGCUCAGGUCAUGAUCUCACGGUUCAUAGGUUCGAACCCCCAUCAGGCU